rnacentral:rRNA from 1 species
AAUCAACGCUGGCGGCGUGCCUAACACAUGCAAGUCGAACGGGAAAGUGGAGCAAUCCAUGAGUAUAGUGGCGACCGGGUGAGUAACACGUGACUAACCUACCUUCAAGUGGGGGAUAACCUCGGGAAACCGGGGCUAAUACCGCAUAAAAUCUCUGUUAUGAGAAAGCAGGGAUCAAAGGAGCAAUUCGCUGGAAGAGGGGGUCGCGGCUGAUUAGCUAGUUGGUGGGGUAAUGGCCCACCAAGGCUUUGAUCGGUAGCCGGCCUGAGAGGGCGCACGGCCACACUGGAACUGAAACACGGUCCAGACUCCUACGGGAGGCAGCAGUGGGGAAUUUUGCGCAAUGGGGGAAACCCUGACGCAGCAACGCCGCGUGGAGGAUGAAGUCCCUUGGGACGUAAACUCCUUUCGACCGGGAAGAUUAUGACGGUACCGGUGGAAGAAGCCCCGGCUAACUUCGUGCCAGCAGCCGCGGUAAG